UUCUUUCCUGCAGGUGCGCUGAGACUAGACUUUGAGUUUCUCCUUAGUAAUAAGUAAAACCAUCUGUCCGUCAACCAGAGGGCAAUAGCCUCCGGCAGUUAUGUCUUAAGCAGGGCCGGACUGGAUUUUCUAAUUAUAUCACAGCCUCACAUUUGAUAAUCUUUCAUCACUCCAAGGACCUACAAAACCAGUUCCAGCUUCAUUUUUAUAUCAGGAAAUGGACAGAUAUCUCUCCACAAUGAACCGUGACAGCAGAGAGCAGGUCUUCAAACGAGCACUCUUUCUGAUGUGGGUUUUCUGCCUACAGUCUGAUGGAGUCUACCCUGAAGCAUGUGUUUGGGGCUAAGGCGCACUCCUGGUUAGCCUCGCUCACUAGUGGAAUGAGGCCUGUCAGAAGGCAUCAGGGUGACUCAUCUCGGGAGGAUGUGCUAACACAUCAUUGCCCCAGACUUUUCAGCAAGGGUUGAUCGUCCAUGAACAAUGCACUUCCCGUCACAUGCUCACACUUGGCCAAUUCAUCAUCUAGCCUUCAACG